UACGUAGGGUGCGAGCGUUAAUCGGAAUUAUUGGGCGUAAAGGGCGCGUAGGCGGCCUGGCAAGUGGAUGGUGAAAUCCCUCGGCUUAACCGAGGAACUGCCAUCCAGACUGCUUGGCUUGAGACCGGGAGAGGUGAGUGGAAUUCCCAGUGUAGCGGUGAAAUGCGUAGAUAUUGGGAGGAACACCAGUGGCGAAGGCGGCUCACUGGACCGGUACUGACGCUGAGGCGCGAAAGCGUGGGGAGCAAACGGG
rnacentral:rRNA from 1 species